rnacentral:rRNA from 1 species
AUUGAACGCUGGCGGCAGGCCUAACACAUGCAAGUCGAACGAGUGGCGGACGGGUGAGUAAUGUCUGGGAAACUGCCUGAUGGAGGGGGAUAACUACUGGAAACGGUAGCUAAUACCGCAUACCAUCCGAUGUGCCCAGAUUGGAUUAGCUAGUUGUUGGGGUCACGGCUCACCAAGGCGACGAUCCCUAGCUGGUCUGAGAGGAUGACCAGGGAAACUGGAACUGAGACACGGUGCAGACGACUACGGGAGGCAGCAGGGGGGAAUAGUGAACAGUGGGCGAAAGCCGGAUGAAGCCAAGGCGGGGGUAUGAGUAAGGCAUUAGGGUAGUAAAGUACUUUAAGCGGGGAGGGGUAACACGCAGAAGAAGAACCGGGUAACUCCGUGCCAGCAGCCGCGGUAAUAC